CACCCCUCAGGCCCAGCCUGGCGUUGGGGCUCUGCGCGCACAGCGCAGGCCCUCAAGUGCAGUGGCGAGCCGGCCGGGAACCCGAGCGUAGUAGCACUCUCCGCCCUGGGAGCCCGGACGGCCUCCGCCGUUAAAAGACGAGGGAGCGUCAGCCCCCUCCGACACACAA
rnacentral:misc_RNA from 1 species